ncrna:Enterococcus saccharolyticus subsp. saccharolyticus ATCC 43076 L31-Firmicutes ribosomal protein leader
CUCUGACUCAGCAAAUGAUUCAGGGCAAAGGAG